UAAAACUGAUUGACAUUAAUAUGGAGUAGAAUACAUUGUUGGAUUAUUCAUACAUUCUUUAAUGAAAGCCAUUGCUAGAGAAGAACAUAAGCAAGAUUGCAAUACCAAAACUCAAGUUGCAUGCUCAAAGAUAUCCAAGCCAAUGCUUGAGGUAGCAUUCUAAAGUACAUUGUUGAGAUGUAGCGACAAAUUCUGAGUACAAGGAUACAAAUAACUGUACGACAAAGUAAUGCUCGCAAAAAUUAAGCUAGAGAUGUAUUUGUCUUAUACUUUUUGUCAAGGAGAAGUGAAAAAAAUCUGCAAAUAAUGCAACUAUUCUAGACUUAUCGUUUUGAUCAAUGUCUUGAGAUGCAAAGUUGUGCUACAAAGUCUAUUUGUCUUAUACUUUUUGUAAUCAGAUGUAUCUACAUCUCUACUAACUGUCAUGAAAUUCACCGAUAGAUAUUAACUGCAGUUACCUUU
rnacentral:lncRNA from 1 species